rnacentral:rRNA from 1 species
ACGCGAAACCCCCUUCGGGGGGCAAGUAGAGUGGCGCACGGGUGAGUAACACGUAGGUAAUCUACCUUUGGGUGGGGAAUAACCACCGGAAACGGUGGCUGAUACCGCAUAAUGCAGCGGCACCUAAUGGUGACAGUUGUUAAAGCGGGGGAUCGCAAGACCUCGCGUCUGAAGAGGAGCCUGCGGCAGAUUAGCUAGUUGGUAAGGUAACGGCUUACCAAGGCGAUGAUCUGUAGCCGGCCUGAGAGGGCGGUCGGCCACACUGACACUGACAUACGGGUCAGACUCCUACGGGAGGCAGCAGUCGGGAAUUUUGGGCAAUGGGCGAAAGCCUGACCCAGCAACGCCGCGUGAAGGAUGAAAUCCCUCGGGAUGUAAACUUCGCAAGAACGGGAAGAAUAAGUAAGGGUUAAUAUCUCUUACGAUGACGGUACCGUUUGUAAGCUCCGGCUAACUCCGUGCCAGCAGCCGCGGUAAUACGGGGGGAGCAAGCGUUG